UAACUGGAUCAUCAAGCCUUAUAUUGUCUUUGCUGAGCCGAUACGAGCUUGAAUGAUAUUUGAGCAAAGUUUCUCCCACCUAAGGAUGUAAGCAAUACCUGUGUUAUUUCAUGCGUGUACUCGUAUUUUGAUAUUUUGUACGACAUCCUUAAAGGUAAACAAAUGGGGAGUUAAGGUCGUUCCAGAAGAACGCCAUGCAAAGGACUAUUCCAGAAGAAUAACUUGCAUUAUAGAUCGUUCCAAAAGAAUGACUUAUAUUAUGACCAUUCCAGAAGAAUGGCUUGUAUCAUUCUAAUAUGUAUUCAUAAAUUAUUAAUGCAAAUUUCAUAGAUUGCAAGUUGAAUACAUUGAUAAUACACUGCAUAGUUUAAAGUUCCAUAAGAUCAGAAUAUGGGUAUAGCAGUGAUCAAUAUAAUGCACGCCUGUUGCAUAGCAAAUGAUAUGGAUUGAAUUCCCGGAAGGACAAUCCAUUAACAUGUCAAUAUUAAUACCGUGCACACCUAAUGCGUAGUAAAUUAUAUGGUUUAAAGUCCCAUAAGGAAAAUUAUUGGACAUGUAUGUAUUAAUUUAUGACAUGCCUGCAGCAUGACAGAUAUAUGAGUUCGAAAUGUUCCAACUCCCGGAAUGGAGAUUAUCCACACCCUACUAUAAAAUAACGCUCCACUGGAGGUUAAGAUCCACAUUCUCACAUAAUUCAUCCUAUAAGAGAUGUCUGUCUGGAAAGAGAAAAUAAAAACCUUGAAGUGGAUUGGGUACCCAAAAGUAAAGAAAUGUUCAUAAUUGAUGCAUGUGCAUGCACAUAGAAUGGUGGGAUCACG
rnacentral:lncRNA from 1 species